rnacentral:rRNA from 1 species
CAGUCGCCACGGUAAUACGUAGGUGGCAAGCGUUGUCCGGAAUUAUUGGGCGUAAAGCGCGCGCAGGUGGUUUAAUAAGUCUGAUGUGAAAGCCCACGGCUCAACCGUGGAGGGUCAUUGGAAACUGUUAAACUUGAGUGCAGGAGAGAAAAGUGGAAUUCCUAGUGUAGCGGUGAAAUGCGUAGAGAUUAGGAGGAACACCAGUGGCGAAGGCGGCUUUUUGGCCUGUGACUGACACUGAGGCGCGAAAGUGUGGGGAGCGAACGGGAUUAGAUACCCCGGUAGUCCCUGUCUCUUAUAA